UGGCAUAGUGGUUAAGUGCUAUGGCUGCUAACCAAAAUGGUCGGCGGUUCGAAUCCGCC
rnacentral:tRNA from 1 species